AUGGUCCAGCUCCCGGCCAAGGCUGCCGCACCGCCACCAGCGGCGACGGCUGUGCCAGUACCAGGCACUACAGGAGGAGAGGACUAUAUCCUAAAUUGGGAACAACGGCUUCAUAUUGCAUUUGAUGCUGCCCAAGGAUUGGAGUAUUUACAUGAGUUAUGCACCCCAUCAAUAGUGCAUAGAGAUGUGAAGACCCCCAACAUCCUACUAGACAAGAAUCUAGUGGGGAUAAUAUCUGAUUUUGGGCUUUCGCGGGCUUUUAACGAUGCUCACACACACAUAUCUACUGUUGCUGCUGGCACUCUUGGCUACCUUGACCCUGAGUACCAUGCAACUUUCCAACUCACUGUCAAGACAGAUGUUUACAGCUUUGGUAUUGUGCUGUUGGAGAUCAUCACUGCUCAACCCCCAGUGAUCAUGGACCCUCAACCCGUCCACCUACCAAAAUGGGUGCGCCAAAAGAUAGCAAAAGGCAGUAUUCAUGAUGUCGUGGACAAAAAGUUGUUAGAUCAAUACAACGUCAGUUCCCUGCAGAGUGUGAUAGACCUUGCCAUGGACUGUGUCGAAAAUGCAGCCGUUGAUAGGCCGGCCAUGACCGAGGUUGUUUCAAAGCUCAAAGUGUUGUUGCCAUUGGUUACAAGCGAAAAGCGGUCUAUUUAUGGAACCACUCAAUAUAAAAACUCCAUGGAUAGUGAAAUUUCACAACAGUACCAGUUGACGAUUUCUGGAGCAAGCACGGAAGGGAGCUCCUUCCAGUCUGGUUAUACCGGUGGGAUGUCAGCAAUAAGCAUGUCUUCUGGAAGGUGA
rnacentral:rRNA from 1 species